rnacentral:lncRNA from 1 species
GUACAAUGUCCUUCUUCCUUCGCAGGGCUGUGGAUUGGGAAAACCUCCAGCAGCCCAGCGGUGCUGGGAAACCCAGUGAAAUUCGGAGGUAUGCUGUGACCUUCUGUGGCAGGGGAAGUGUUUCCCUGUCAUCUUACCAACUGCAGCUUCUCAGAAAGGAAGGACAAUGCAGCGGUUGUGGCGCCAGGAAUCACUGGAAGUCGUGGUAUGUUAAUUCCAUGGGGAAUCCAUUCCCCACAUGUGCAGGAAGGUUGUGGCCCCGACCUGCGUGAAACAGGGCUGGGUUGGGGUGUUGCAGGCCGGUCUUGCACCACCCCCUCGCCCCCUCCUUCCAAGCCAGGGGUCAGGCGCCCAGGCAGGAGCAGCGAUCAUUGGCAGCCAGUGGUGAUGUGUAUUUUCCUUUCUGUCUCCCAGGUCCUAAGAGGCUACUGUACCGCAGGGCCCAAAUGGACAAAGGGGUGACGGCCAUGGAAGAUGUGGGCCACGCCUCCAGGGAUGAGGCUCCAGCGCCAGCUCCCGGAAUGAAGAACCGAACAACAUCCCGGCGGUUCCCGGCUGACGUCCCUCGCGGCGCGUCCCCACUGUCCCUUCUCCGCACGGGCAUGGCUCCAUCCCGGCCCAAUUUGGUUCCCUGGCUUGCCUUGUCCACAGAUGUUGAUAGCUUGGCAGGUCCUCAGCUGUGGUCCCCAGAUGAUAUUUUCUGUUGUGAAUUACUAGUUGGUAACUUCCUCUGUUUUUAUUUUCCUUUCUGUCUC